rnacentral:rRNA from 1 species
UUCAUAGAGUGUAAAGGCAUAAGGGAGCUUGACUGCGAGACCUACAAGUCGAGCAGGGUCGAAAGACGGACUUAGUGAUCCGGUGGUUCCGCAUGGAAGGGCCAUCGCUCAACGGAUAAAAGCUACCCCGGGGAUAACAGGCUUAUCUCCCCCAAGAGUUCACAUCGACGGGGAGGUUUGGCACCUCGAUGUCGGCUCAUCGCAUCCUGGGGCUGUAGUCGGUCCCAAGGGUUGGGCUGUUCGCCCAUUAAAGCGGUACGCGAGCUGGGUUCAGAACGUCGUGAGACAGUUCGGUCCCUAUCCGUCGUGGGCGUAGGAAAUUUGAGAGGAGCUGUCCUUAGUACGAGAGGACCGGGAUGGACAUACCUCUGGUGUACCAGUUGUCGUGCCAACGGCAUAGCUGGGUAGCUAUGUGUGGACGGGAUAAGUGCUGAAAGCAUCUAAGCAUGAAGCCCCCCUCAAGAUGAGAUUUCCCAACUUCGGUUAUAAGAUCCCUCAAAGAUGAUGAGGUUAAUAGGUUCGAGGUGGAAGCAUGGUGACAUGUGGAGCUGACGAAUACUAAUCGAU